rnacentral:rRNA from 1 species
GUUUGUUUGAAGAUAUAGGUAAUCUGGCCUGCCCCCUGAUUUUAAAAUUAAAGGGCCGCAGUAUUAUAACUGUGCAAAGGUAGCAUAAUCAUUAGGUUUUUAAUUGGAAUCUUGUAUGAAUGGUCGGACAAAAGAAAAACUCUCUUUAUAUUAGAUUUUAAAUUUAACUUUUAAGUGAAAAGGCUUAAAUACACUAAAGGGACGAUAAGACCCUAUAAAACUUUACAUUGUAAUUAUAUUUUAGUAAAUUUAUAAAAUAAAAAUUUAAUUUAAUUAUUUGUUAUGUUGGGGAGACAUAAGUAAACAUUAUUUAAACUGCUUUUUAAUAAAACAAUUAUUAGUGAAUAGAGUAAUGAGAUCCUUUUUAAAGAUUAAUAGAUUAAGUUACUUUAGGGAUAACAGCGUGAUUUCUUUUGAGAGUCCUUAUCGAAAAAGAAGAUUGCGACCUCGAUGUUGAAUUAAAAUAUCUAUAUAAUGGAGAGGUUAUAUAAGAAGGUCUGUUCGACCUUUAAAAUUUUACAUGAUUUGAGUUCAAACCGGUGUGAG